rnacentral:rRNA from 1 species
ACGUAGGUGGCAAGCGUUGUCCGGAUUUAUUGGGCGUAAAGCGAGCGCAGGCGGUCAAUUAAGUCUGAUGUGAAAGCCCCCGGCUCAACCGGGGAGGGUCAUUGGAAACUGGUUGACUUGAGUGCAGAAGAGGAGAGUGGAAUUCCAUGUGUAGCGGUGAAAUGCGUAGAUAUAUGGAGGAACACCAGUGGCGAAGGCGACUCUCUGGUCUGUAACUGACGCUGAGGCUCGAAAGCGUGGGUAGCAAACAGG